AUCGCUUCUCGGCCUUUUGGCUAAGAUCAAGUGAAAACUGCUUAACAGAGUAGAUUUUCUUGAAGUAGUGUUCUUACUUCAAAAAAGUGAUAAGUAUGUAAGCUAAUGGAUAUAUUAAUUAGCUUGAUUUAACCAUUCUACAAUGUAUAUGAUACAGUUUGCAUAUGUUUGUUGUCCCCCCA